rnacentral:rRNA from 2 species
GGCGUCGACCGCCGCACGGGUGAGUAACGCGUAUCCAACCUGCCUCUGACUGAGGGAUAACCCGUCGAAAGUCGGCCUAAUACCUCAUGGCAUCGUCUGCGGGCAUCCAACGACGAUUAAAGAUUUCAUCGGUCAGGGAUGGGGAUGCGUCUGAUUAGCUUGUUGGCGGGGUAACGGCCCACCAAGGCUACGAUCAGUAGGGGUUCUGAGAGGAAGGUCCCCCACAUUGGAACUGAGACACGGUCCAAACUCCUACGGGAGGCAGCAGUGAGGAAUAUUGGUCAAUGGGCGGGAGCCUGAACCAGCCAAGUAGCGUGCAGGAUGACGGCCCUAUGGGUUGUAAACUGCUUUUAUGCGGGGAUAAAGUGAGGGACGUGUCCUUCAUUGCAGGUACCGCAUGAAUAAGGACCGGCUAAUUCCGUGCCAGCAGCCGCGGUAAUACGGAAGGUCCGGGCGUUAUCCGGAUUUAUUGGGUUUAAAGGGAGCGUAGGCCGUGGAUUAAGCGUGUUGUGAAAUGCAGGUGCUCAACGUCUGCACUGCAGCGCGAACUGGUCCACUUGAGUGUGCGCAACGCAGGCGGAAUUCGUCGUGUAGCGGUGAAAUGCUUAGAUAUGACGAAGAACUCCGAUUGCGAAGGCAGCUUGCGGGAGCACAACUGACGCUGAAGCUCGAAAGUGCGGGUAUCGAACAGGAUUAGAUACCCUGGUAGUCCGCACGGUAAACGAUGGAUGCCCGUUGU